rnacentral:rRNA from 1 species
CAAAAACAUCGCCUCCCGCAAAAAUCAACGUAUAGGAGGUCUUGCCUGCCCAGUGACUGUAAGUUAAACGGCCGCGGUAUUUUGACCGUGCAAAGGUAGCGCAAUCACUUGUCUUUUAAAUGAAGACCUGUAUGAAUGGUGGAACGAGGGCUUAACUGUCUCCCCCCUCUGGUCAAUGAAAUUGAUCUGCCCGUGCAGAAGCGGGCAUAACCAUACAAGACGAGAAGACCCUUUGGAGCUUAAGAUAAAAGACCAACUAUGUCAAAAGUCCAAAAAAGACUAAACCGAGUAGCACUGGUCCCAAUCUUCGGUUGGGGCGACCACGGGAGAAAACAAAGCUCCCACGAAGACUGGGGAAACCCCCUAAAACUAAGAGAGACAUCUCUAAGACGCAGAACAUCUGACCAAAAAGAUCCGGCUAUAUGCCGACCAACGGACCAAGUUACCCUAGGGAUAACAGCGCAAUCCUCUUCCAGAGUCCAUAUCGACAAGAGGGUUUACGACCUCGAUGUUGGAUCAGGAUAUCCUAAUGGUGCAGCCGCUAUUAAGGGUUC